AGUCACUGACAUUAGAUACCCGUGUAGUCCAGGGUGUAAACGCUGCAGACUUGGUGUUGGAGGCCCUUUGGGGGCAUUCAGUGCCGGAGAGAAGUUGUUAAGUCUGCUACUUGGGGAGUACGUCCGCAAGGAUGAAACUUAAAGGAAUUGGCGGGGAGCACCGCAACGGGAGGAGCGUGCGGUUUAAUUGGAUUCAACACCGUAAAACUCACCAGGGAAGACUGUUACAUGAAGGCCGAGAUGAAGACUCUGCUAGAUUUUCAG
rnacentral:rRNA from 1 species